AACGAGGUCAACGGGAAGUGUCAUGUCAGCCUCCAAUGCGGCGUUUCGUCCGGCGGCAGCGAUGCUCGGUCUGUCCAUUAGAGAGGUGUCCCAGGCACUGAGGGAUGGGAGGGUGUCCGCCACUGAGCUCUGCAAAAAGUGCAUCGACCAAAUACAAAGAACACAUUACCUGAAUGCAUUUAUCACCAUUACAGGGGAGACAGCUAUAGAGCAAGCACAGAAAGCAGACAACAGGAUCUGCACAGGUAAACCUCUU